AAGAUGGAAGUGAGUGAACUUUAUAUGUUGGGAUAUGUUAACUGCUAUAGCCAGCUUGGAAGAAUUUGGGGGCGGAGGAAGACCUCAGUAUAUAAUUCAGUUCUUUAUCUCCUAGGUACUUGGCCAUCCUUCUAAAAAAGUAAAAGUUAAGACUGUUUAUUCUGGAAUGGAUAGAGCAGUGUUAUCCAUGACACUACCGUUGUCUAGUUUCUGAACAGGGGUCUGAAGCCACCUCAUUCACCCCAAUGGAACCCUUUUCCCACACUCUGCCAGUACUCUGCACAGAAGGGAACCUUCAAAAACACAAUUUCCAGGCAAACUAAAGGACAGAGUGGGAGUGUUUGUAUCCUUUGGUCCUUCUUUAUCAUCUCUUUUCAAAGUUGUCUUCUGCUUCUUUCCUUCCAGCCACCGGCACUUAGCAGAACAUCUCCGUCUGUGAUGGUUUGUAUAUGCUCUGCCCAGUGAAUGGCACUAUUAAAGGAUGUGGCCCUGUUGGAAUAGUGUGGCCUUGUUGGAGUAGUUGUGUCACUGUGGGUAUGGGCUUUAAGACCCUUAUCCUAGCUAACUGGAAGCCACUAUUCCGCUAGCAACCUUCAGAUGAAGAUGUAGAACUUAGGUCCUCCUGCACCAAGCCUGCCUAGAUGCUACCAUACUGCCAUCUUCAUAAUAAUGGACUGUACCUCGGAACCUGUAAGCCAU
rnacentral:lncRNA from 1 species